AUCUUCAGGGCAGGGUGCAAUUCCCGACCGGCGGUAAAGUCCGCGAGCCUUUUGGCUGAGCCGUUGCGACUACGGCACCGACAGUAUAGUCUGGAUGGAAGAAGACA
rnacentral:ncRNA from 1 species